rnacentral:rRNA from 1 species
UGGCGAACGGGUGAGUAAUGCAUCGGAACGUGCCCAGUCGUGGGGGAUAACUGCUCGAAAGAGCAGCUAAUACCGCAUACGACCUGAGGGUGAAAGCGGGGGACCGUAAGGCCUCGCGCGAUUGGAGCGGCCGAUGUCAGAUUAGCUAGUUGGUGGGGUAAAGGCCUACCAAGGCAACGAUCUGUAGUUGGUCUGAGAGGACGACCAGCCACACUGGGACUGAGACACGGCCCAGACUCCUACGGGAGGCAGCAGUGGGGAAUUUUGGACAAUGGGCGCAAGCCUGAUCCAGCAAUGCCGCGUGCAGGAAGAAGGCCUUCGGGUUGUAAACUGCUUUUGUCAGGGAAGAAAUCUUCUGGGCUAAUACCCCGGGAGGAUGACGGUACCUGAAGAAUAAGCACCGGCUAACUACGUGCCAGCAGCCGCGGUAAUACGUAGGGUGCGAGCGUUAAUCGGAAUUACUG